rnacentral:piRNA from 1 species
AGAGAAGCAAUCAGCAGCCACCCAUUGCAGC